CGCGUCUGAUUAGGUAGUUGGUGCGGUAACGGCGCACCAAGCCGACGAUCAGUAGCCGGCCUGAGAGGGUGACCGGCCACAUUGGGACUGAGACACGGCCCAAACUCCUACGGGAGGCAGCAGUGGGGAAUAUUGGGCAAUGGACGCAAGUCUGACCCAGCAACGCCGCGUGAAGGAAGAAGUAUUUCGGUAUGUAAACUUCUAUCAGCAGGGAAGAACAUGACGGUACCUGACUAAGAAGCCCCGGCUAACUAC
rnacentral:rRNA from 1 species